rnacentral:rRNA from 1 species
CAGCAGCCGCGGUAAUACGAAGGGUGCAAGCGUUAAUCGGAAUUACUGGGCGUAAAGCGUGCGUAGGCGGUGAGUUAAGUCUGCUGUGAAAUCCCCGGGCUCAACCUGGGAAUGGCAGUGGAUACUGGCUCGCUAGAGUGUGUCAGAGGAUGGUGGAACUCCCGGUGUAGCGGUGAAAUGCGUAGAGAUCGGGAGGAACACCAGUGGCGAAGGCGGCCAUCUGGGACAACACUGACGCUGAGGCACGAAAGCGUGGGGAGCAAUCAGGAUUAGAUACCCCCGUAGUCCCUGUCUCUUAUAC